AGCGAAUGCUCCUGCUGGAGAGGUCACUGUCAGCAGGCUCUGUGCAAAAUUAAUAAUGCAGCAUGGUUGGUACAGGGUUUCAUUGUUCCUGCAGAAGGGAACGGCUGUAUUACGAAUAAAGGAAAAGUAUGAGAAUAAGAAAGAUGAAGUAUGAAAUAUUUCUCAAUAACAGACCAUAGCUGAGCACACAGAAACUACAAUAUGCCACCUAAGUUCUUCCUGCGGUGCUGCAAAGGACACCAUAUUUCUUAGGCAUUUGGUAUGUUCCAGACACUGUUAUUAAAGUAAUUUUCUAUACUACAGAAGUAAUGAAUGACUGUCCUUUUAUAGUUGAGAAAGCAGAGAUUCAAAGAACUCAAAUAACAUGCCUAUUGUUACACAACCAGCAGUGCAAAAGCUGGGACCAAUAUCUGUUUGAAUCCAAUAUUCAUUCUCUAACGUAUCAGCUGCCACCACAAAGGAAAUAAGUGUCUUUGACAUCAGAUCGCUAAUGUCUAAUGUCGCUAAUCCUUGUACAUUAAUUCUACUCUCCUAUCAAAAUUAAAUAAUAGUGUAAACCAAGAUCACAUUAGAUUAUAACUAAAGCACCAAGAUCCUGCCAAGUCCAUGUUUGUUAAAUAAUACAACAUAUAAAUGUGCAAAACUUGAACUUAUAUAAGUGCACAGACAGAAUUCCAUUUGUCCUCCUAUGUUAUCCAAUCAGCUCUAAGAAAAUUUAUUCUAUUAGAUUACCUUUCAGUGCAAGAACUACAAGUACACUCAGAGCCUCAGCACAUUUAUUAACUGAGAGGCUUGAUGAAAAAAAUGAAAAAUUUUCUAGAACAAAUCAGGAUUUGAGAACAACAGAAAAUUAUCCCACCCAUGGAGAUUACAAUGUUUUAUGAAGCCCUUUGCUACUGAUGUGACUAUUGUUUCAUCUUUUAAUAAGCUCUACCAAAAAUAUCCCAGCCCAUUGGAGCUGCAGGCUCAGUGUUCUGCCUUCAUUUCCAAGUGGUGGUUUUGGCAUGUCCCCAGGGAUAGUGUCUGCCCUGAGUAUGAAUUAGAAGGUUUUAGCACGUGCACGAACAUGCAGAUUUUUAGACCUCCUCUCAUAGAACUUUGGCUCCAGUAAGCCUGAGGUGGGGACCAGGAAUCUGAAUUUUAACAUAUACCAAUUUUCAACACGGGGUCUAAUGUCUACUGAAUAAGAAUUGCUGCACUAGACAGUCUUCCAAGGCAAUAUAAAUGAAAGCAAAAAUAAAUAAAUGGGACCUAAUCAAACUUACAAGCUUUUGUACAGCAAAGGAAAACACAAACAAAACGAAAAGACAAUAUACAGACUGAAAGAAAUUAUUUGCAAAUGAUGCGACCAACAAGGAAUUAAUCUCCAAAAUACACAAACAGCUCAUACAACUAAACAACAAAAAAACCACAACCCAAUUGAAAAAUGAGCAAAAGACCUAAACAGACAUUUCCUCAAAGAAGUCAUACAGAUGGCCAACGGGCACAUGAAAAGAUGCUCAACAUUGCUAAUUAUUAGAGAAAUGCUAAUCAAAGCUACAAUGAGGUAUCAUCUCCCACUGCUCAUAAUAGCCAUCAUUAAUAAGUCUACAAAUAACAAAUGCUGGAGAGGGUGUGGAGAAAAGGGAACCCUCCUUCACUGUUGGUGGGAAUGUAAAUUGGUGAAGCCACUAUGGAAAACAGCAUAGAAGUUCCUCAGUGGAGUUCCCAUCGUGGCUCAGAGGUUAACGAAUCCAACUAGGAACCAUGAGGUUGCAGGUUCGAUCCCUGGCCUUGCUCUGUAGGUUAGGGAUCCGGCGUUGCCGUGAGCUGUGGUGUAGGUUGCAGACGUGGCUCAGAUCCCACACUGCUGUGGCUCUGGCGUAGGCCAGUGGCUACAGCUCUGAUUGGACCCCCUAGCCUGGGAACCUCCACAUGCUGCAGGAGCGGCCCAAGAAAUGGCAAAACAACAACAACAAAAAAAAGAAGUUCCUCAGAAAACUAGAUAAAGAACUACCAUAUGAUCCAAAAAUCUCACUCCCAGGCAUAUAUACAGAGAAAACUAUAACUCAGAAACAUAACAUGCACCCCUAUGAUCAUAGCAGCACUCUUCACGAUAGUUAAGAUAUGGAAAUAACCUAGAUGUUCAUUGGCAGAUGAACAGAUUAGGAAGAUGUGGUACAUAUACUCAAGGGAAUACUAUUCAGCCAUAAAAAAGAAUGAAAUAAUCUCAUUCACAGCAACAUGGAUGCAACCAAAAAGUAUUAUAUUAAGUGAAGUAAGUCAGAAAGAGAAAGACAAAUACCAUAUGAUAUCAUUUAUAUGUGCAAUCUCAAAUAUGGCACAGAUGAAUCUAUCUACAAAACUGAUGAACCUAUCUACAGAACUGAAACAGACUCAAAGACACAGAGAACAGACUUGUGGUUACCAAGGGUGGAGGUGGGGGAGGGAUGGAUUGGAAGUUAGGGAUUAGCAGAUGCAAACUAUUAAAUGUAGAAUAGAUACUGCAUAGCACAGGGAACUGUAUUCGAUAUCCUGUGAUAAACCGUAAUGGAAAAGAAUAUUAAAAAGAAUGUGUAUCUGUAAAACUGAAUCACUUUGCUGUAUAGAAGAAAUUAACACAACAUUGUAUGUAAAUUAACUACGCUUCAAUUUUUAAGAAAAGAAAAGAAUCACUGGACUAGAGGAUCCUCCAUUCCAGUUUGUAAUGAGUCCCUCAGGUUCACACUCAGAGUAUGGCUGUCACAGGCUUUCCAUUGGGUCUAAGAUGUCUGAGGUUCUCCUGAGUUCUCCAAUUGUUGGAACAUUGCUUAAGUGAAACCAAGUCUACACAUGAUAAAUCCCAAGGACACACCUGCUCAAGAUUGGGAUUUACAAUAGAAGUACUGAAGUUCUGCUCUGGUAAGAAUUUGCUUCCUUUUAUUUGCUCUGGGCUGUUUUCAAAAUGAAGCUGUGAACUGGAAGAAUUUGGUCUUUGUAUCCUACCUCCUGUGCCUUUAUCACGUGUAGCUUCGAUAUCCAAACCACAUGCAGGAAACUAAAGCUUCUUGCCUUCUGAAUAUCACCAACUGACGUACCCAAGCAAAGCAGCCUAACCCUCCUUCCCCUGCUCUGGAUUUCUCUCUGUUUCUUCCAUCAAAGUUUACUUCACCCAUUUCUGACCUGGUCAGGAUCCUUUAUAGCAUCAGCACAGUGACAAGACUUUGGUGUGAUACAGUAAAAUGAACUAACAGAUUAACAUUUUAGUUGGAAGCCAAAUUAGAGCUAAGAGAAGCAGAUUUUUUGCAAAAUAAUGUUAAUGAAUACAGUUAGAAUGAUGGUGCCAGGUGAUGUGGACAAGCAAAAUGUUUCCUCCUCCACUUUUCUGUUAGAGAGAAUAAAAAUUAUACUUAAUUUAUCAGUAAUCCAUUACCUCUGUUGAUAAUUCAACAAGAUCAUAGGAAGUCUUAGGCAACUAACAGGAUUUGGAAUUCAACAUGGCACAACUCAGACCCUAAAUAUGUUUUCAUUUUUGAAGGAAAAUUCAGGAUAAUUUAUUAGAACACAAAAUAUAAUCAUGAUCAAAGGUAAAGAUCAUAUAGCAAAAACAUUACUUGGUUAAAAUGAGGUUCUAUGGCACUGUCUCAACUUCAGAUCAACUAUGGUAGCAUUAGAACAGACAUGACAGUGAGGCAAAAUUCUCAGAGGAAAGCAGAGAAAACUAGUUCUCCCAUAAAACCUCUAAAAAAGGCAGCAGAGAUUUACUAUAUUGUAUUUUAGUCAUCUUUGAUGACUUCAUAGUAUCUGACAUGAGUAACACUUAAAUAUAUAAUGAAGUAGUAGUAGUUCAUGAUAAGACAGAGGAGGAGGAGAAGAUUUCAUAACUUAUUGAUUUUUUUGCAUCAUUAGAAUCAUUCAAACAUUGUCUCUGUUCUUGGAUUCAGACAUAUCUAGAAGCCUUUGCCUUCUCAGUAAAAAAUCAUUUAGCCAUAGCCUUCCAACUUCAUGGCUAUAAUUAACAUUUAAGCCUUAAAGGAUGCUAAUGGGUUAACAUUUUUAAGGUAGCAUGUUAUUUUAGGGGCUUUUUAUACACAACACCUUACAGAUUCCAAAGAAGGACCCUUCGAGUUAGAAACUGCAUGCACUAUAAUAAGAUAGGAAGAAAGGUAUCAGAAAAGAAGGAAGUAGCCUUGUAACUUCUAAAGUAAACAAUCUCACAUUGUCACCUACAGUCCCCAACACAUAGGGAAAAACUUUAUUACAGAGCUUCCCACAUGGUCCAAUUUCAGCAGCAGUCUCUUAAAGGGGAGAGUAGAAAUAUGAUUCAUAUUGAAAAAGAUCCAUCAGGUGACAAAGCAAAAUUCCAGCUCAAAUGGGCAGAAUUCUUAUCAUCAUCAAUACCUUUGGGGCAAUUCAUUUGGCUUUGCCUUGGCGGUCUCUCCUUAGGGCUGAGCUGCAGAUUUCUGUGGCGAUCUUGUUAGCUUUGAGGAGGAGGAGAAGAAACACAGGGAGUCCUCUAUAGAAACUCACUUUUAGGAUAAAGAAAGGUCCUAGGAAGUAUAUCUUCUCCGAGGAGCAUAUAUCUGGAGCUCAAAACUGACACAAUACUUUGAGGAUAAGCAAUGAGGUCCUCCUGUACGGUACAGGGAACUACAUCCAGUCUCUUGGGAUAGAACAUGAUGGAAGCUACUGUGAGAAAAGAAUGUAUAUAUAGGUACGACCGGGUCCUAUCCUAUACAGCGGAAAUUGACACAACACUGUAAGUCAACUCGAGUCUAAUAAAAAUAAAAUGAAAUGAAAAAUAAAAAAAUAAAAUUGUGUUGGCCAUUCAAACAAAACAAAACAAAACAAAAAAAAACCUGACACAAUGGUAGUAAUGAAUGGUCCUAGCUGCCACUAACUUGCUCAGUUCUUCACUGCGUGACUGCAGUGCUGCUCAGCAUCUCUCUCAGCCUUCCUAUCCACAUCGAUACAAGGGGCACCCUCAUAAUCUAUAUUAGAUGGAUUUGUGCCAUGUUUGAGAUUCCACAUAUAAGCAAUAAUCCACAUCCGAUGAAAUGAGACCACGAGUAAGAACACUCAGCAACUGCUCAAGUGCUACAACAAUUCUCAAGUAGCUGUGAUACAAAACCAGAUGCUUUUCUCUUCUUUUUUCUUUUUUUUAAAGGGCUGCAUCCAUGGCAUACGGAGUUUUCCAGGGUAGGGGUUGAAUCAGAGCUGCGUCUGUGACCUAUGCCACGGCUCACAGCAACACCGGAUCCUUAACCCACUGAGCAAGGCCAGAGAUCAAACCCCCAGCCACAUGGAUCCUAGUUGGGUUCGUUAACCCCUGAGCCACGAAGGGAGCUUCCCGAUGCUUCCCUCUUCUAAGCCUAUCUUUCAGGAAAUGAAUAAUCGGUCCCACCCAAAUAGAGAAGCCUUAAGAACCACAAACAACUAAAAUUCUAACACCCUUUAGGAGAGGUCUAUUAACAACCUAAGUGUCUGAGUGUCUCAUAAAUGUACUUGGCAGAAUCACUAAACAUAUUUUAGUGACUUGUGAGAAAUUUUAGGGCAUAGGAGUAGGAGGAUGGCUGGAGAGCCAGAGCUCCUGGCUGUUUGUUGGCAGAAGAACAGGUACUGAGUGGUUAAUUCCCCAACCUCACCGCCUCUCCUGCUGUUCUAAACCAUAUUGACCUUGCGUGCCCCGUGGCAGACAUCCUGCCCUCACUUCACGGAUAAACAUCUCAGCUGAAGACCCUUUUCUUGGGGAAAAGUGAACCACUGACCCCAUUCAGACUAAGUCAGAUCCUUCUGUUACAUUCUCAUAACAUUUCAUAUUUUCUUUCUGGCACCUAGCAUAGUUGAUGAAUAACAGAGAUAAAUAGGAUUCUUCGAUUCUGCCUCUUCUUCAAUAGAAGCUCAUUAGGAUACAAAGUAUGACUGGUGACUUUCCCACCACUGACACCCAGAACCUAGCUCAGGGCCUGGCACACCCUGGGAGCUAAAGAAAUAGUUGGUGCUUUAAUGAAGAGCGAGGACUUGCAGGCAAAUCCUCUGUGGCCAAGGCAGGGUUCGUUCUUCUACAGAAGAAAUGGCUCUAUCUAAGUAUUACCUGGAGGGAGCCCAGUAAAAUACAAAUUUUUCAAGUAUUGAUCCAAUGCCAUAAAAUCAGAAACUCUCAGGGAUGAAGAAAUCUGAAUUUUCAGGUGGUGGCCAGUCCCAGUCCAGUUGUAGAAACCACUGCACUACACUCAAAGGUGCAUCUGCUACAACCCCAAACAAUCGUGCUGGCAGAGGACCCAGAGCCCCAAUAUUUUCACUUCCUACCCUCUGCUCAACGCUGGAAGGGCACACUCUCCAAUCUGCCUCAUAUUAUGUCAAGUAAGGGAUUUUUAGGUGGAGAAAUUGUUCCAUUGGACACUGUCAUGGUGGAUACACACCAUCACACAUCUGUCAAAACCCAGAGAACCAUACAACACAAAGAGGGAGCCCUAAUGGAAACUACAGACUUUGGUUAAUAAUAACGUAUCAGUAUUGGCUCAUUGAUUGCAACAAAGGAGCAACGUGAAGGCAAGAUACUAAUAUCUGGGGAAAUCAUGUGGAAAGUGGCAAGGUGAGUGGGUAUAUGGAACUCUAAGUACUACCUGCUCAAUUACUCUGUCAAUCUAAAACUGCAUUUUUCAAAAGCAUAAGAAAAUAAAACAUACUGCAACAAUGACCUUGGGAGUGAAGCACCACAGCCAUGACCACACUCACAUUUACUCAGUGCUCACUGCGCAGGGAGCACCACACUAGGAAUUAUCAAGCAUCACCUCAUUUAACCCCAACAAUACCACUCUCUAGCAACUAGUCAAUAUCCUCAUAUCCCCUUGAGGGUUAGAGAACCGAGAGGAAGUGCAGUUAAGUCCUUGCCCCAAAGAACUCAGCCAGCUAGUAUCAUCUGUUUUCAAACUCGGGUCCAGGCUGCCCCCAAUCCCACACAUUUACCCACUGCUGGAACCAGUUUCAAUUUAGUUACUUGUAGUUACUUCGGCCUAUGCACAAACAAGGGGGUUACUAGGAAGUUUAAUCACUAACUGUAACCCCAAAUGACAACAUAAUGUAACACAGGGUCUGAUGAAAAGAUUCUUAUGGUGAAGCAAUGCCUACUGGCAAGCCCAGAACAUACACAGAGUAAAACAAAUACUGCCCUCCAGGAGCAUGGGAUAGUGGAGAAGCAGGGCUGGUGAUCAACAGCAAGAUGGCUUCAGCUCAACAUCGGGUUUCAAACGCUGGAAUCAUUCUUCUAGGCCCAAGAUGGAGCCACUCCUGGCCGGGUCACCAUAGCAGCAAAUUGAAACUUAGGUGACUUUUGUGUCCCAGGAAGUGUUCCUCCCGACCAGAAACACAGUCUACCCAGCCAGUCAAUCUUCAAAUACCAAGCCAGCUCUGGGCCUUCUCACCCCAAACUGGGUGGACUGUGUGGGGCCAGCCAAUCAGAGGUUUUCUAUUGAUCUUUUCCUUGAACGUUAUUCUGUAUCCUAUAAAAAGCUUCCUGUUUUCUGACCCACUUUGCAGUUCUACAAAAGGAGAGUGUCUACUUCACGAAGUGCUAAAUAAAGUUUGUUUCUGUCACCUAAACUGUCCUCUUUAAUCAUUUUUUAACACAAAGAAACCAAUGAUGGUGACAUGGAUGUACAAACUUAAAUGACAAUGUUUUGCUUUAAAACCAAACUAUUUUUAAACAACAACAACACCAUAAAGGCCAGAAAAAAGACAGAAAGAGAGACUGGGAACCAUCACAUUUUUUUAAGAGACUUAAGGGCCAUGCAGCCUAGUGCACUAUGUGAGUCUCAUACGGAACUUUAUUCAAACAUACUGACUAUAGAAAAAUCAGUAAAUUUUGAACAGAGAUCAGACAUUAUGUGAGGCUAAGGAAUUAAUUUUGGGAUUUAGUAAUUUUAUUAGGAUUAGGUCUUUGUUAAAAAAAACCCAUCAAAACUAUUAAAAAACCUAAUAAAGAUGAAUAAAUCUAAUAGAGAUGAACUACUGUAUCCGGGAUUUGCUUCAAAACAGUUUGAGAAGGGAUGGAAAGUGGGUACAGGUCAAAUAAAAUGGGCUGUGAACUGAUAAUGGUAUAGUUGUUGGAGAGAGCGAUGGGGCAUGGAGUGCAUUAUACCCUUCUCUCUCCUCUUGAGCACAUUUGAAAUUUUCCAUUAUGAAAGCAGUUUUUCAAGUUUAUUUUCCAGCAUUCAUUCUAGCACUUAUCUAACAAUGUACAUUAUUAUCAUUCAAUAAGUAUGAAUAUGAACAUUAAUUAUAAACAUAAUAAUUGUAGGAGUUCCACUUUGGCUGCUCAGCAGGUUAAGAACCUGACAUUGCAUCUGUGAGGAUGCGGGUUUGAUCCCUGGCCUCGCUCAGUGGGUUAAGGAUCAGGCACUGCCA
rnacentral:lncRNA from 1 species